GACGAACGCUGGCGGCGUGCUUAACACAUGCAAGUCGAACGGAAAGGCCUGCUUUCCCUUGUGGAUUGCGGGUACUCGAGUGGCGAACGGGUGAGUAACACGUGAGUGAUCUGCCCCCAACUUGGGUAUAAGCCUGGGAAACUGGGUCUAAUUCUCGAUAGGACUGCAGGGUGGUGCCGGUGGUGGAAAACGAUUUUCUAGUGGUUGGGGAUGAGCUCGCGGCCUAUCAGCUUGUUGGUGGGGUAAUGGCCUACCAAGGCGGCGACGGGUAGCCGGCCUGAGAGGGUGGACGGCGACAUUGGGACUGAGAUGCGACCCAGACACCUACGGGAGGCAGCGAUGGGGAAUAGAGGACACUGGGCGGAAGCCUGAUGCAGCGACGCAGCGUGGAGGAUGACGGCCUUCGGGUUGUAAGCUCCUUUCGACGGCGAAGAGGCCACCUGGUUGGGAGGGUGGUGACGGUAGUGGUAGAAGAAGCACCGGCUAACUACGUG
rnacentral:rRNA from 1 species